UUAACAAUGAUAUUAAGUUUAUACAAUUUCCCGAAUUAUUAAGAUCUAAUUAUAGUUUUAGUAAUAGCUUAAAAUUAAUAAUCUUAUUGUUACAUAAAUAUAUAAUAAAUUAUAAUUAGGGAUGAAAAGUCUUCAAUUAAUAGGAUAUCUGGAUUUAAGUUAAAUAUAUGUAGUAUAAUUUGAGACAUACUUAAGGCUAUAAGGUCUUAGGUAGAAAAAUAUCUAAUUUUUUUUAAAAAUUUCCUAGAUUUAAUAAAUUAUUAGGUUGCUAUGCUAUAUUCACUACAAAAUAGGAUCUGUUUUACUAUUUUAAUAUUUGACUAUUUUUUAAGUAACUUAACAAUAGAAAAAAUUUAUUUUAUAUUAGAUUCUGUUACUAUUAGUAUAUAUAAAAAAAUUUGUAAAAAGAACUCGGCAAAUAUAUCUAUUAUUAUUUCGGACUGUUUAUCAAAAACAUAGCUUAAAGAAAAUAAAUUUUAAGUGAUCCCUGCCCAGUGAGUUUAAAUUUAACGGCCGCAGUACAUUGACUGUGCUAAGGUAGCAUAAUAAUUUGGCUUUUAAUUGAAGUCUAGAAUGAAAGGGUUAACUAGGAAUAUACUGUUUCUUGGAAAUUUUAUAUAAGUUGCUUAUUGAGUGAAAAUUCUCAAAUUAUUAUAAGAAAGACGAGAAGACCCUUAGAAUUUUUCUAUAUAAAAUAAUAAUUAGGUUUAUUUAUAGUUUGGUUGGGGCAACCAUUAAACAAAUAAAUUUUUACAAAUUAUUUUAAUCACAUAUAUAAUAAUAUUAAAUCUGAAUAAAUUACCUAAGGGAUAACAGCAUAAUUAAUUAAAUAGAUUGUGACCUCGAUGUUGGACUAGGUAAAAUUAUUAGUAAACCACUAUUAAUACUGUUCUGUUCGAACAUUGAACACCUACAUGAUCUGAGUCAGACGG
rnacentral:rRNA from 1 species